GGUGUUGGUAGCACAGUGGUUAAGACAUCGGAUUUCUGAUCAGAAGGUUAUGAGUUCAAGUCCCAGCACCACCA